AUUGAAUGCUGGCGGCAUGCCUUACACAUGCAAGUCGAACGGCAGCACGGGUGCUUGCACCUGGUGGCGAGUGGCGAACGGGUGAGUAAUACAUCGGCACAUGUCCUUUAGUUUGGGAUAGCGCGGCGGAAGCGGGAUUAAUACCCCAUACGCUCCAGGGCUGCGAGCGGGGGCACUUCGGGUCUCGCGCUUUAGGGUUGGACGAUGGCUGUUUAGCUAGUUGGGGGGGUAACGGCCUACCAAGGCGACGAUCAUUAGCUGGUCUGAGAGGACGAACAGCCACACUGGAACGGAGACACGGCCCAGACUCCUACGGGAGGCAGCAGUGGGGAAUGGUGGACAAUGGGCGAAAGCCUGAUCCAGCGAUGCCGCGUGUGUGAAGAAGGCCUUCGGGUUGGAAAGCCCUUUUGUGCGGAAAGAAAUCCUUGAGUCUAAUACAGAGGGGAGAUGACGGUACCGGAAGAAUAAGCACCGGCUAACUACGUG
rnacentral:rRNA from 1 species